rnacentral:lncRNA from 1 species
AUGUGCAUUUCCCUAAUCACAUUUGGAGCCUCUGGGAAAUUUCCGUUGGGUGAGGUAGUCGCUCUGUUUGUCUGUUCCAUACCCCCAACCCCCAACUCUCUCUGUCUCUGUCUCUAUCUCUGUCUGUCUCUGUCAGUCUCUGUCUCUCUCUGUCUCUGUCUCUCUGUCUCUGUCUCUGUCUCUCUCUCUCUCUCUUCUCUCUCUCUGUCUCUGUCUCUCUCUGUCUCUGUCUCUCUCUGUCUCUGUCUGUCUCUGUCUCUGUCUCUGUCUCUGUCUCUCUUUUUCUUUAAGGAGGGCGGGUUGAGCUUUCUACGGCUGCCUAAGGUGAUGGACACUCCAUAGCACUGCUCUGCUUUUACUUGGAUAUUUCCUAGAAUCCGGGAGCCUUAAUGUGUGUGUGUGUGUGUGUGUGUGUGUGUGUGUGUGUGUGUGUGUGUGUAGGGGGACCCCCAUGGCAAUCUGGGCCCCUUCUUAGAAUAUUUUUUAAACCCUCACCUUCCGUCUUGGAGUCAAUACUGUGUAGUGGCUCCAAGGCAGAAGAGUUUGGUAAGGGCUAGGCCAUGGGGGUCAAGGGACUUGCCCAGGGUCACCCAGCUGGGAAGUGGCUGAGGUCAAAUUUGAACCCAGGACCUCCCGUCUCUGGCCCUGGCUCUCUAUCCACUGCCCCCCUUCUCAGGAUAUUUUUAAGUGCAUAAGAUCACAAAGGAAAC